ACGGCCAUACCAUGCUGAAUACCAUUCCAUGCUGCAUACCGGUUCACGUUAGAUCACCGAAGUCAAGCAUCAUUGGGCGCGGUCAGUGCUUGGGUGGGGAACACCUGGGAACAACGCGUGCCGUU
rnacentral:rRNA from 1 species